rnacentral:rRNA from 1 species
CCUACGGGUGGCAGCAGUGGGGAAUAUUGGGCAAUGGGCGCAAGCCUGACCCAGCAACGCCGCGUGAAGGAAGAAGGCUUUCGGGUUAUAAACUUCUUUUGUCAGGGACGAAGCAAGUGACGGUACCUGACGAAUAAGCCACGGCUAACUACGUGCCAGCAGCCGCGGUAAUACGUAGGUGGCAAGCGUUAUCCGGAUUUAUUGGGUGUAAAGGGCGUGUAGGCGGGAAUGCAAGUCAGAUGUGAAAACUAUGGGCUCAACCCAUAGCCUGCAUUUGAAACUGUAUUUCUUGAGUGCUGAAGAGGCAAUCGGAAUUCCGUGUGUAGCGGUGAAAUGCGUAGAUAUACGGAGGAACACCAGUGGCGAAGGCGGAUUGCUGGACAGUAACUGACGCUGAGGCGCGAAAGCGUGGGGAGCAAACAGGAUUAGAUACCCGGGUAGUC